GAUAGGUAGUAAUGCUGGUGGAU
rnacentral:miRNA from 1 species